UCUAGAAUUAAAAAAAAAUUAGACUAGUGAUUUGACGCUCAAUUUAAGUGUAAAAAGUGAAGAAUAAAGAAAUGUCACAAACACCUAACUGAAUCAUAAAAUUAAGUAUUGCAUAGGGUUAAGCUAUUAUUAUUAACAUCGUAAUCAUCAUCAUUUCUCAAAUAUCGCAAUGACUCCUGUAUUGAGAGCCAUCAAGA